UCGUUAACGAACGAGACCUCGACCUGCUAAAUAGUUCGGUGAAGGCGUCAGCCUUCAUACGUGACUUCUUAGAGGGACUAUCGGUGUGUAGCCGACGGAAGUUCGAGGCAAUAACAGGUCUGUGAUGCCCUUAGAUGUUCUGGGCUGCACGCGCGCUACACUGAUGAUUGCAUCGAGCUUACAACCUUGACUGAGAGGUCUGGGUAAUCUUUUUAACGAUCAUCGUGCUGGGGAUAGAUUAUUGUAAUUAUUAAUCUUCAACGAGGAAUUCCUAGUAAACGCAAGUCAUCAACUUGCAUUGAUUACGUCCCUGCCCUUUGUACACACCGCCCGUCGCUAAUACCGAUUGAAUGGAUA
rnacentral:rRNA from 1 species